rfam:Haemonchus placei strain MHpl1 genome assembly, scaffold: HPLM_scaffold0003845
GGCUGAAACUUGGAGUAGAGUAGUUUAGUAGGAUCGGACAAUCCUACUAACCUACUUUACUUCAAGUUUGGGCCC